CUCGUUUACACUUUCACAUUUACUUGUGUUCUUUUCUGCAGCUGCAAAAAGCAUAUCAUCCUUCAACCAGCAGAAAAACCAACCGUGUUUAUGCCUCUCAUUCACAUCACUGCAGACGAGAAACUUCCACUACACGGGAAGCCGCUCGCCUGCCCACAUGCUGGUUCCUACCAGCCUCCCUUCUCAGAAGAGCUUGAGCAUAUGCAUUGUCUAGGGGUGUCAUCGACACAAUGUCAGCCUACCCAGCAUCAGGGGCAGCUCUGGAAGUCAUUAAGGGUGGAGCCACCAGGCAAAAGGAGAUCUUUUACCCCUGGUACUGGCAGCUGGUGUGUGCCAUACGGGACUGGUUUCCCGGGUAUCGGGACUCAGUUAUACAGAGUUCAUACAAGUACAACCCUUAAAAAAAGUGGUGAUAGGAAAAAAAUAUCUUGACAUCUGCUUGUCUAUAAUAAAAUUUUCCAGAAAACUGUUUCAUAUAUCUUAUAUAUAAACAUCUACACAUGGAAGUGUGUGUGUGUGUGUGUGUGUGUGUCUG